AUUGAACGCUGGCGGCAGGCCUAACACAUGCAAGUCGAACGAGUGGCGGACGGGUGAGUAAUGUCUGGGAAACUUCCUGAUGGAGGGGGAUAACUACUGGAAACGGAAGCUAAUCCCGCAUACUAUCAGAUGUUCCCCUAUGGGAUUAGCUUGUUGGUGGGGUAAAGGCUCACCAAGGCGACGAUCCCUAGCUGGUCUGUGCGGAUGACGAGACACACUGGAACUGAGACACGGUCCAGACUACUACGGGAGGCAGCAGUGGGGAAUAUUGCACAAUGGGCGCAAGCCUGAUGCAGCCAUGCCGCGUGUAUGAAGAAGGCCUUCGGGUUGUAAAGUACUUUCAGCGGGGAGGCGUUACCCGCAGAAGAAGCACCGGCUAACUCCGUGCCAGCAGCCGCGGUAAUAC
rnacentral:rRNA from 1 species